AUUGAACGCUGGCGGCAGGCCUAACACAUGCAAGUCGAGCGGUAACACAGGGAGCUUGCUCCCGGGUGACGAGCGGCGGACGGGUGAGUAAUGUCUGGGAAACUGCCUGAUGGAGGGGGAUAACUACUGGAAACGGUAGCUAAUACCGCAUAAUGUCGCAAGACCAAAGAGGGGGACCUUCGGGCCUCUUGCCAUCAGAUGUGCCCAGAUGGGAUUAGCUAGUAGGUGGGGUAACGGCUCACCUAGGCGACGAUCCCUAGCUGGUCUGAGAGGAUGACCAGCCACACAGGAACUGAGACACGGUCCAGACUCCUACGGGAGGCAGCAGUGGGGAAUAUUGCACAAUGGGCGCAAGCCUGAUGCAGCCAUGCCGCGUGUAUGAAGAAGGCCUUCGGGUUGUAAAGUACUUUCAGCGGGGAGGAAGGCGAUAAGGCUAAUAACCUUGUCGAUUGACGUUACCCGCAGAAGAAGCACCGGCUAACUCCGUGCCAGCCGCCGCAGUAA
rnacentral:rRNA from 1 species